rnacentral:pre_miRNA from 12 species
GAACUUCAUUUCUUUUUACUUCCUACGUUCCCUUGUCAUUCUCGGGUCCGGUGUUGCCAUCUGACGACUGGACGGAGAACUGAUAAGGGCUUGUGGGAAGUACUUCUACGGCUCAGCGAGU